rfam:Schistosoma margrebowiei strain Zambia genome assembly, scaffold: SMRZ_contig0002196
UCCUGCGUGGCCUAAUGGAUAAGGAGUUUGUCUUCUAAGUAGAAUAUUGUGGAUUCAAGUUCAACCGUUGGUG